rnacentral:rRNA from 1 species
GGAUAACCGCUGAAAGCAUCUAAGCGGGAAGCCAACUUCAAGAUAAGAUAUCCCAUCUAUUUAUAGACUGAAGACCCCUUGAAGACUACAAGGUUGAUAGGCCAGGUGUGUAAGCAUGGUAACAUGUUCAGCUAACUGGUACUAAUCGGUCGUGAGGCUUAGCCAC